UCCCUGCUGCUGUAGACCCUCCCAUGCACCUUCCCUUUGUGCCAAACCUGUCUGUCUGUUUAACCCUAUAACACAACCAUAACAUUGCCAUAUGUCCCCUAUCUUCCAGGAAACGGAGGGAAUCCAGAUUGCAUGCUGUUCAAUAGUGACUUUCUGUUGUACAGGAGGAGAGGAGGGCGGUAGAAGAUUUCCAUCAGCGACUAAAUUUGUGUUUUGAGUUAAAAUUGGGCAUUCAGAGGAACUGCCUUGGGAUACUCUGCUCUCUCGGAGCCCCUCCUCCACACUGGCAGCUGCUGACCUCCUGUUCACUAAGCAACUGAGCAGCACCGUUUGCCUCAUAGUGACGCACCAGCAGGUGGUUACCAUGGAAUGAGACAGCAGCAAAGCACUGUCCCUGUCGUCAUGGAGCCCCUGAGCCAUCUCCUAAGCAACCUGGCAGGAGAUCCCCAAACAAAUCUAUGCUCUCUGCUCCACUGAGGUUAGUUUUAAAUUUAUUUUUGUGGGUUGCUUGACAUCAA
rnacentral:lncRNA from 1 species